GGGUCUAUCAUGCAAGUCGAGCGAACGGACGAGAAGCUUGCUUCUCUGAUGUUAGCGGCGGACGGGUGAGUAACACGUGGAUAACCUACCUAUAAGACUGGGAUAACUUCGGGAAACCGGAGCUAAUACCGGAUAAUAUUUUGAACCGCAUGGUUCAAAAGUGAAAGACGGUCUUGCUGUCACUUAUAGAUGGAUCCGCGCUGCAUUAGCUAGUUGGUAAGGUAACGGCUUACCAAGGCAACGAUGCAUAGCCGACCUGAGAGGGUGAUCGGCCACACUGGAACUGAGACACGGUCCAGACUCCUACGGGAGGCAGCAGUAGGGAAUCUUCCGCAAUGGGCGAAAGCCUGACGGAGCAACGCCGCGUGAGUGAUGAAGGUCUUCGGAUCGUAAAACUCUGUUAUUAGGGAAGAACAUAUGUGUAAGUAACUGUGCACAUCUUGACGGUACCUAAUCAGAAAGCCACGGCUAACUACGUGCCAGCAGCCGCGGUAAUACGUAGGUGGCAAGCGUUAUCCGGAAUUAUUGGGCGUAAAGCGCGCGUAGGCGGUUUUUUAAGUCUGAUGUGAAAGCCCACGGCUCAACCGUGGAGGGUCAUUGGAAACUGGAAAACUUGAGUGCAGAAGAGGAAAGUGGAAUUCCAUGUGUAGCGGUGAAAUGCGCAGAGAUAUGGAGGAACACCAGUGGCGAAGGCGACUUUCUGGUCUGUAACUGACGCUGAUGUGCGAAAGCGUGGGGAUCAAACAGGAUUAGAUACCCUGGUAGUCCACGCCGUAAACGAUGAGUGCUAAGUGUUAGGGGGUUUCCGCCCCUUAGUGCUGCAGCUAACGCAUUAAGCACUCCGCCUGGGGAGUACGACCGCAAGGUUGAAACUCAAAGGAAUUGACGGGGACCCGCACAAGCGGUGGAGCAUGUGGUUUAAUUCGAAGCAACGCGAAGAACCUUACCAAAUCUUGACUUCCUUUGACCACUCUAGAGAUAGAGCUUUCCCUUCGGGGGACAAGUGACAGGUGGUGCAUGGUUGUCGUCAGCUCGUGUCU
rnacentral:rRNA from 1 species